CGGCAGGCGUUCGCGGCUAUCGAGCUCCCUUCCAGCUUCAGCGCUGCCGCUGACGGAGAGAGAGAGGCCUGGCUGCUGGCUCCUGGCUGCUGGCCAUGCCAUAAUUACACAGGUAGAUAUGAGUUUGAUGGCGUGACUCUUGGUAUAAAACGCGAGGCAGGAGGCUGGGCCACAUCAGAGGCGCAGGAAAGAGGAAAAGGAACCCGGCAGAUAUGAUGCGAUCCUCAGCCCUCUUCAUCUGCCUGGUCCUGCUGUGUCUGCAGCGCUCCAGUUCCAUUCUCGAUGUUACUCUACCUCCCGCCACCACGACUCGUGUCACUACCACAGUGGGUUCUACUACCAGUAGUACCACUCGGAACCCUUCAAACACAACAACCCAGAAAGCGAACCACACCGAAUCCACCACUCCGAAUACCAGCCGCACCACGGCCAACCACAGCCUUUCCACCACCACUGUCAACGCUACCGUCUCCAAACCUGCGAACACAACACAGCCAAGGGAUACCACCCAGAAAACCAGCAGCGAUUCCACCACACCUAACCACGCCCCUCCUGGUGGAACCUCAGCCUGGCCGUCCUCCUGUAACCUACUCGGCUUCCUGAUGGUAUCGCUGCUGUGGUGCCAAAUAAUACAUACACCAACAUCUCGACUGGGUACCCGUUGGCGCACAAAUGAAAUUCAAGUGAACUAAAGACUUAUGCUCCACUCAGACCUCUGUGGUCCAUCAUAGAAUGUCACCUACUAUUGCCAACCCCCCACACAGGGCAAACCCCAGUCUGGGCUGAUCACCUUCCUUCAUCAUGCUUCCUUCACUCGCACUCUGCAUGCAAUGCCUUCCAUCAUCCUUAACAUUAAAUUCUUAUUCAUAAGACGAUUGCCAAAUCAAUGAAAUGUACUUUAAGCCUAACAAAUUACGAUAUAAAAUAUUAUUGACACUACUGAAUAAACCUACUUACAACCUAUAUAAAUAUGUGCGU
rnacentral:lncRNA from 1 species